rnacentral:rRNA from 1 species
CCUACGGGAGGCUGCAGUGGGGAAUAUUGGGCAAUGGGCGCAAGCCUGACCCAGCAACGCCGCGUGAAGGAAGAAGGCUUUCGGGUUGUAAACUUCUUUUAAGAGGGAAGAGCAGAAGACGGUACCUCUUGAAUAAGCCACGGCUAACUACGUGCCAGCAGCCGCGGUAAUACGUAGGUGGCAAGCGGUGUCCGGAUUUACUGGGUGUAAAGGGCGUGUAGCCGGGCGGAAAAGUCAGUUGUGAAAUUCUGGGGCUCAACCCCGGACCUGCAUUUGAAACUGUUGGUCUUGAGUAUCGGAGAGGCAGGCGGAAUUCCUAGUGUAGCGGUGAAAUGCGUAGAUAUUAGGAGGAACACCAGUGGCGAAGGCGGCCUGCUGGACGACAACUGACGGUGAGGCGCGAAAGCGUGGGGAGCAAACAGGAUUAGAUACCCCAGUAGUC